CACACGCAUGACACACUGCAUAUCAAUAAGCGGAGGAAAAGAAACUAACUAGGAUUCCCUUAGUAACGGCGAGUGAAGCGGGAAGAGCUCAAAUUUGAAAUCUUCAAGGUUCUACCUUGACGAAUUGUAGUUUAAAGAAGUGUUUUCUGUUGGAGUUUUGGUAAAAGUUCUUUGGAAUAGGACAUCAUAGAGGGUGAGAAUCCCGUAUUUGACCAUUUCUUCCAGCUGUGUGAUACACUUUCAAAGAGUCGGAUUGUUUGGGAAUGCAGUCCAAAAUGGGUGGUAAAUUUCAUCUAAAGCUAAAUAUUGGCGAGAGACCGAUAGCGAACAAGUACCGUGAGGGAAAGAUGAAAAGAACUUUGAAAAGAGAGUUAAACAGUACGUGAAAUUGUCAAAAGGGAAGCGUUUGACACCAGUGUUGUUUUCUCGAAAAUCAAUUAAAAAGAGCCGGAUUUUGUGUUGUUAAGACUUUAUCAGCUUACUGCACUUUUUUCUUGUUCUUUUUAAUGCACUUUUCGUUUAACAAGUCAACAUCAAUUUCUUUUGUUGUAAAAGGGUCAUUGAGGAAGGUGGCUUUCAUUUCGGUAGAAAGUGUUUAUAGCCUUUGUACCUCUGCAAUCGGAGAGAUUGAGGUCUGCAGCGUAGAUCCUUCAGGGUUAGAUACAUUUGUGCUAAGUUAUAGCUUUUCAUAGACAACUUGUUGACUAUGUUUAGUCUUGUAGCUUACUCGCUUAUGCUAUUUUACCUACGCUUAGGAUGUUGAGCGCAUGUCUCUCUCU
rnacentral:rRNA from 1 species